GGGCCAGUAGUUCAGUGGUAGAAUGCCUCAUUUGCAAUGAGGAGGUCCG
rnacentral:tRNA from 1 species